rnacentral:tRNA from 1 species
GUUCUGGUAGCUCAGUGGAUAGAGCGAUCGCCUCCUAAGCGGUAGGUCGCGGGUCCGAUCCCCGCCCAGAACACCA